GGGGAAUCUUCCGCAAUGGGCGAAAGCCUGACGGAGCAACGCCGCGUGAGUGAAGAAGGUCUUCGGAUCGUAAAGCUCUGUUGUCGGGGACGAAUGUUGAGACCAAGAACAUAGGUUUCAAAUGACGGUACCUGACGAGGAAGCCACGGCUAACUACGUGCCAGCAGCCGCGGUAAUACGUAGGUGGCGAGCGUUGUCCGGAAUUAUUGGGCGUAAAGGGAGCGCAGGCGGGAAGGUAAGUCUAUCUUAAAAGUGCGGGGCUCAACCCCGUGAGGGGAUAGAAACUAUCAUUCUUGAGUGCAGGAGAGGAAAGCGGAAUUCCUAGUGUAGCGGUGAAAUGCGUAGAGAUUAGGAAGAACAUCAGUGGCGAAGGCGGCUUUCUGGACUGUAACUGACGCUGAGGCAUGAAAGCGUGGGGAGCAAAC
rnacentral:rRNA from 1 species